rnacentral:rRNA from 1 species
UACGUAGGGGGCAAGCGUUGUCCGGAAUCAUUGGGCGUAAAGAGCGCGUAGGCGGUCCGGUAAGUCCGCUCUGAAAGUCCGGGGCUCAACCCCGGGAGGCGGGCGGAUACUGUCGGGCUAGAGUCCGGAAGAGGCGAGUGGAAUUCCUGGUGUAGCGGUGAAAUGCGCAGAUAUCAGGAAGAACACCCGUGGCUAAGGCGGCUCUCUAGUACGGUACUGACGCUGAGGUGCGAAAGCGUGGGGAGCAAACAGG